rnacentral:rRNA from 1 species
UGGGGGAUAUUGCACAAUGGGCGAAAGCCUGAUGCAGCGACGCCGCGUGGGGGAUGAAGGCUUUCGGGUUGUAAACCUCUUUCGCUAUCGAACAAGGCCCGCUUAGGGUGGGUUGAGGGUAGGUGGAGAAGAAGCGCCGGCUAACUACGUGCCAGCAGCCGCGGUAAUACGUAGGGCGCGAGCGUUGUCCGGAAUUAUUGGGCGUAAAGGGCUUGUAGGCGGCUUGUUGCGCCUGCUGUGAAAACGCGGGGCUUAACUUCGCGCGUGCAGUGGGUACGGGCAGGCUUGAGUGUGGUAGGGGUGACUGGAAUUCCAGGUGUAGCGGUGGAAUGCGCAGAUAUCUGGAGGAACACCGAUGGCGAAGGCAGGUCACUGGACCAUUACUGACGCUGAGGAGCGAAAGCAUGGGUAGCGAACAGG